AUUUAUGGACAAUGAAUAAUGGUGCAGGUUGUAGAAUUUCCAGUGCCACAGCUAGUGGCCAGAAGCCAACCACUCUGCCACAAAAAGUGGUACCACCUCCAAGUUCUUGCGCCUCCCUGGUUCCCAAACCCCCACCCAACCACGAACAAGUGCUCAGAAGGGCAACAUCCCAGAAAGCUUCCAAAGGGUCCUCCGCGGAAGGGCAGCUGAAUGGACUCCAGAGCAGCCUUAACCCUGCAGCCUUUGUGCCCAUCACCAGCUCUACAGGUUAGUGGGCACCAGCUCUUCUGCAACUGGAUAGAUGACAGGGAAGGUGUUGGGCUUGGCACAUUCUCUCUUCUGCCUCCAAAGAGAGCCCCAGUUCAAAGAAUGAAACAUCUAGCCUCUCAAAACAUUGGCAAAUGGGCAUUUUUGUUGCAUUCUUCUUUAAAAUAGUCUUGGCAGCCUAAAAUAGGCAUUUUCUGGAACUAGCUUGGGGUAAAUGAAACCUCGCCAUCUUAUAAAAUGCUGUCAGAUUUGCAGCAUUUAAUACAGAUGUCCCAUAUUG
rnacentral:lncRNA from 1 species